GAUGAACGCUGGCGGCGUGCCUAAUACAUGCAAGUCGAGCGAACAGACGAGGAGCUUGCUCCUCUGACGUUAGCGGCGGACGGGUGAGUAACACGUGGAUAACCUACCUAUAAGACUGGGAUAACUUCGGGAAACCGGAGCUAAUACCGGAUAAUAUAUUGAACCGCAUGGUGCAAUAGUGAAAGACGGUUUUGCUGUCACUUAUAGAUGGAUUCGCGCCGCAUUAGCUAGUUGGUAAGGUAACGGAUUAACAAGGCAACGAUGCGUAGCCGACCUGAGAGGGGGAGAGGCCACACUGGAACUGAGACACGGUCCAGACUCCUACGGGAGGCAGCAGUAGGGAAUCUUCCGGAAUGGGCGAAAGCCUGACGGAGCAGCGCCGCGUGAGUGAUGAAGGUCUUCGGAUCGUAAAACUCUGUUAUUAGGGAAGAACAAAUGUGUAAGUAACUAUGCACGUCUUGACGGUAACUAAUCAGAAAGCCACGGCUAACUACGUG
rnacentral:rRNA from 1 species